GCCUCCCCACCAUAUUGAAAACAACCGAAGGUCGACGCUGAUCUCGAUCGCAACAGAGUAUUCUUUGGUUAGGUUAUUGGCUACGUUUGACGUCUUCUGUUAUAAUAUGAUUUCAGUAAUUAAAUAGUUUAAAAACUGAACAAAAUGGAAGUUGGUGGUGAUUUAACACUACAGUGGGUAGAAGAAGUGGGAAAUGUAGAACUCCAUGAGGAAGUGAUAUGUGAUUUGGAAGCACAAUUGGUUGCUACAGAAGAAGAGGUUAUUGGUGCUUGUGAGGAAGUAGCAGUAGAAGAAACUGUUGAAUCUGUCCCUGAUGUAGCACCUACAACAGAAUCUGAAAUACUAAUGGUAUCCCAACCUAAUGACAUGGAAUCUAUUUAUAUUGUACCACAGGAUCAAGGUCAUGACUAUUUAAAUAUACAAGUGACAGAAGAAGUAAUAGCUGACAAUUGGGAUAGACAAGGUCCAGAUGACGGAGUCGAGAUUCCAGAGGCAAAAGUAGCACAUGAUAACUUGCUGGAAUAUGAUGACAUGGAGAUUCCGCUGCCAAUAAAUCAGGAUUCAAAUACUAACAUCCGACCAUAUCCAUGUGACUUCUGUAGUCGUAGAUUCCGGAAGAAAGCAAAUUUAAUGAAUCACAUGGUAGCACAUCAAACAGAUCGUCCACAUAGCUGCAAUCUAUGUGGAGCACGGUAUGUACGCAAAUGUGAUUUAAACAAUCAUCUGAAGAUUCAUGCAUAUGCGCCAUCAUCACGGGAUGGUCUGGAGGAUGAGAUAAACGAUGAGGAUAUCUUGGCACCAGAGGAAGAGGAUAUGACAACUACUGUCAAAGGAAGACGUAAAAAAGUGCAAUCAAAUAUGCCACGUAAACGAAGAGGUAAUAAUGCUACUGGUUUGCCAAAACGACAAAGCACUCAAGAUGCCAGUGGAGUCAAGAUGGAGAUGGGCAAUGGCAAUUAUGCAUCUAGUUCAAAAUGGCACGAAGAGAUGGCUGUUACCAAUGAGCAGCAAUCAUCAAGGUGGCCAAUAACUGAUACCACUAAGCCCUAUAUCUGUCAGUUCUGCGGUGUUGGUUUUGCAAGGGAGAAAGCGUUAGCUUCACAUGCACGUAUUCACGGUGGUGACAGUCCAUUUGAAUGUACUUCCUGUAGUGAAAUGUUUUGGGAUGUUAACAGUCUGCGAGAACACGUACGCGUUAAGCAUGGUGAUACUAUGCUUCAAUCUGACACAGAGGAAUAUGACAAUGACACUGCUUACGCAAGCGAAGAAAGAUUUGGCGAGUUUUACUGUAAUAUCUGUGCUGUACCAUUCCAUCGUCUGGAUCUACUUAAGCGUCAUCAAAAAAUUCAUAUCAAGCAAGAAACGGACACAAUGGAAGGUUCCAGUCAGCAUCACGUGUGCAAUGUUUGUGGUGAAUGGUUCGAAGAAGCAUUGGCACUAUUAGCACAUGCAGAACUUCAUGCUAGAUCUCCUAGUCGCCGUUGCUUGUUAUGUGGAGCAAGAUGUCGUGACGACGCCGACGUAGCGGAACAUGUACGGCAAAAUCACGCUGAGGAUGCGCCGCCGAAUACAUGUACACUAUGUGGGAAGACAUGCAAAGAUAAACGUAGUUUACUGAAGCAUUCAUGGGUCCACAAUGUCGAUAAAACUUUUGGUUGUACAAAAUGCGGAAAACGCUUUCAUAGUAAAGCCAGAUUGCGAAGGCAUAUGGUAUCACACCGUAAUAAGAUGGUAGCUUGUGAUGAAUGUGGUGAGGAAUUUCCUGACGGACGAGCUCUCGUAAGCCAUCGUCAUUCACAUAAUAAGGAUCUGGGCGGGCGUUCUUUUCCCUGCCGCGAAUGUGGAAAGACCUUUGGCAGUCGUAGCUCGCAACAAAUUCAUAUACGUAUCCAUACUGGCGAGAGACCAUAUGGUUGUCGGUUUUGUUGGAAGGCAUUUGCCGAUGGUGGUACUUUGAGGAAACAUGAACGUAUUCAUACUGGCGAGAAGCCUUAUGGUUGCGCCAUUUGUCCUCGAGCUUUUAAUCAGAGAGUGGUUCUCAGGGAACAUGUACGCGCCCAUCAUUCCGGACCAGACCCUAAAUACGUAGGCAGUGCAACACCAUUUUUAUGUAAGGUAUGCGGUGAAGCAUAUGGCACAUCUGAGGAAAUAGUGGCUCAUAUUGUGCAGCAUUGUGAUGACAAUACUGCAUUAAGACGUCAACCACAAACUGGUCCACGCAAGUACAAAAGAAGACGCAAAUUAAAACCUCAUGAGACCAACACAAUAUUGCGCAGGAACGAAUUUUAUGACAUGAUAGAAGGUGGUGAUGGUAGUGGCGGUGGUGGCGGCGGCGAUGGUAUAAGUGGCGGUAGUGGUGACGUUGGAGUUGGCGUUGGCGUCAGCAUUGGCAUUGGCGAUAGCAUUGGCGAUCAUGGUGGCGAUAAUGGUGGCAGUGGUAGUGGCGGCAACGGAGGUAUUGGUGAUUCCGAUUCUGAGGAAAAUAUAAAACGGAAACUCAGUCGCAAAAACAAACAACAUAAAUCCAAUGUUGAGGAAGGUUAUCAAAAUGUGUUAAAAAGUUUUGAAAGUUCACUACAAAAUAUAAACUCAAUCGUGAACAACUCUAAAUUGAAUACGUCAAAGUCGAAGCUUUCGAAAAAAAAGCUACGCAAAGAAGAGAAAAGAAGCGAGACACAAGCGUCGAAUCAAUCAGGUCGACCAAAAAUGAUCCACACACAAAAAACGCGAGUGCCAGUGGAGGUGGGUAGCGACGGUGUGAAGAAAGGACAGAAAACGAAAACAAUGGUAACCCGAACGCCAAAGGUCAUGCCAAAUGAACAUAAGCCAGGCAUCUUUUCGGGCGGUGAGAGGAAUCGGCCGCGCACUAAAAACGUUAGUUAUCAUAUUGAGGGCAAACAACAACUCUCACCGGCAACGUUCUUAAAGAUGAAAGAAGAUACAGAUCCGAUGUCGAUGCAACAGCAAUCGCAACAGCAAUUGCUGUUGACAAACAUCAAAGUCGAAUCAGAUGCACAAAAGGCAGCGUCCACAGGCGGCAGUCAUAGGAAUAACAAUGGUAAUAUGCUUGGUCUUCUUAAGAGUGAAUCAUUAGCCAAGAAAAAGUCAUCUACCCUAAAGAAAACUAAAAGACAGAAACACAUAGUAAAACAAGAACGUUCGGAUACGUCUGAGUCAGGUACCGAAGAACAACAAGAACAGCAACAUCAAGAAUAUCAGUUACAAUUACGAAAUAACAACAAUGUAACGGAAAAUAAUGGCGAUUCUGUACGGUUGAUGGACCAUACAAUGGAUGGUAGUAAUUUGGAAGUAGCUUUCGAGGCGAGUGUCGUGACUGCAGAAGACCAGGAGGACGAGGACGACGAUGAGGAAGAAAGUAUUUUGCCUGAUACCGGAGAAGAGAUUGGCAAUGGGGAUGUUAAACUAAGUGUGAAAGUGGAAUCGGCGCCGCAACGGAUGCUGGCCGUUCAUAGUGUUAUCACGCCGGUAGAUGAUGUCCCGGAAACGAUAAUACCGGACGCUGUGGAAUAUACGUGCGAGAUGUGUGCGGCAGUGUUUUCGAGCCGCGCCGAAUUAUUGGUCCACGUACCGAUACAUAUUUGAUUUGAUUUAAUUUGUCCAAGUUGGUCAGCAUGGAGAUAUGUUUUCUCGGAUUUUUGUGUUCCGCGUGGUAAUGAAAGGAUUAUACAGGAAUCGAGAUGCAAGGAUAAUAUGAGGAUGCCGAAAAAUUUACGAAUACAAGCAUAAAUUCUGUAAGAAUCGUUGAAAAUACAUGAUGAUAAAAAUGUUCUUGAAAUUAGCGAGAUAACUGUAUAAUAUAUAUACAUACCACACAUGUACACACGCGCACGCAUGCACGUACGCGCACACGCUGCAAAUAGAAUAUUUAUACUAAAAGUGUUAAUUUCUCUAUUUAUAAUUAGCAUUUGUAAUGUAUAAUUAUUGGUAUAGAAGUUUGUUUUCUAUUGCAGCACUAUCUUGAACGUACGUUGUUCAAUGUAGAAUAUAGUCAUAAAUUCAUUAUAAUAUGACAUUAUUAUGCGUGCAAUUUUUAAGUAGAAAUAGAAGUGGACUUGGAUCGCAGAUCCAAACACCUCGUAUACCAAACAAACAAGCACCAUAAAGCACUAUCCCGUAAAUAAAUUUCUGUUGGAUCUGAUAUUGGAUUUUAUAAAUUUAACGCUUUCGUGUUUUUGUACAUAUUCUAUUUAUAUGUUUUAGGUUUUUUUUGAUAUUAU
rnacentral:misc_RNA from 1 species